ensembl:lncRNA
UGUUCAGCCAUAUGUACAAGCUUUAAUAAUGGAUGAGGAUCAAACUGGCUGUUGGGCACUGAAUGUGAAUCACCACAAUGUCAGAAUCUCCAGAGGAACUUCCCAAGGGAUGCUGAUUCUAUGCUAACAGCCAUAGAAACUCCUAUGCUCUGGCUGGAACAUGUCAGGUGGUGGAAACCCAGGAGAGGACAGAUCUUAAGUCAAGGGGGAGAAAAAAGGCUCUGCUGAAGCUAAAUCUGUAGAGAGAUGUGGUCUGCAGCUGAAGACAUUCAAGCAAUGAUCCUCUUGGUGAGUGUUAGUGGACAUGGAGCCAGGCUGGAAUGCAUUUGGUGCAUUUAGAACCCUGUGUUUAACUCAGAGUGGUGCUGAAUGUCCCUGCAGCACAGCUGCUGGAGGAACACAAGGCACUGCUAGAGACCAGCAGCACCCUUCCAUGGGAGUAUGCAAAGUGAAAGAGGAACAACCUCUGAGUUUGCAGGUUGCCAAAACCUCCAUGAUCUUCUCCAGGAGAUGAGAUUUUUGAAAGUGAAGAAGAGAGGUUGAAUUCCAAGUGAAGGAAUAUUCCUUGUUGCUGCAUUGAAUGGACAAUGUCACAGCUUUCUUCCUCAAAAACCAGUCCAGCCCUCUCUGGACUCCUCACACCCGUGUGCCCCCCACUCCUGCCAGCCCCAAGCCCACUGCAGGCUGUGUGGCACAGUCCUGGUGUAGCACACGGGUCAGGGGUGCCCAUCACUGCUCAGCCUGCUGGGUGCUGCUUCAGAAGGUACAUGGUAAUAAUCCCUUCUUCAGUGUUCUGAACCAGGGUUUACUCUCUGUGUUGAUGGAGGAUAAAGGAUGUUUGGGUGCAGCCAGGACAAAAGGCUCUCUCACCCCAGAAAUGUGCUGAUCAGUAUCCAUCCACAGAAUUCCAUUAAUAACCUCUCUUCCCUUCAGCACCAUCUCUAGUGUUUUUUCAGCAUCACGAAGGACUGAGCCUGUUGUGCUGGGGAAAGCCAGGCUUAUCUGGCUAGGCAGAACACAACCUUCAGUGGGGCCACAUCUUUAUUAAGUAGCUGAACAAUGCCUGGAAACUCCAGGCAGGUGUUAGAGUGGACAAAUGGGAAUAGGAAAAAGCAAUGACCUUUCUGAGCUGAGCCCACAGUUUGGACCAGUGUGUCCCUCCCUCUGUGUGAAGCUGUGGCAGCUUCAGCCUGUCCUGGCUGCAGCUGGGCUGGCUGGCAUAGCCACUGUCUUGGCUGCUUGGCCCAGAGGUUCUGGAUCCUCAAGGAUGGCUGUGCUGCUGGUGGUAAAUAGAUGCUAAUGCUCAUUUGUAGAGACCAACAGCAGCCCACUUACACUGGACCAGGUAAAAAUUGUUUAUUCUAACACAGAGACGCUCUGUGGAGCAUCAGACUGUGUAAGCAUCCCCAGUGCAGGGUUUUCUGCAGUGGAAACAACCUGUCUGACAUGGGCACAGCAGGCAGUGAGGGUUUGGCUCUAAGCAACACAGCCUGGCUUGAGUUUGUAAGUGUAAGAGGCAUGAAGAUAUGUUUACACGGUGUGAUACCCAGCAGCGAGGCAUCCUUGCUUAUUUUAUGGUUCUAUCAGCAUGUUCCUGACUGAUUAUGAAUGGAUUCCUUGCAGGUUAACAAGCUGAAAAUAUUUUUGUUAUUAAAGAGAACCAAGUCAAACUUUACUGAACAAAUACAUCUUGGACCUCUGGCUAAUGAGUUUUUCUGCUGUUCAAACAUUAUGUGAUAUGAAUGAAAUUGCAGUUGAAUUAAACUUAGCUGUUAAUGAAAAAUCCACAAGCUGCAAUUUUUUUGUCACAGCUUUAUUUUAGGCAGGUAAGUUAAUUUUGGAGGAAAUAACAAUUUUGCACAAUUUGGCUAUGUAAAAGUGAUUAAUGAAAAUAGUAUUACAGGUCCCAUUUUAUAAAGAAAUUGAAUCAAAAAUAUACUUUGAAGUGCAGAAGGGCUGUUUCUUCCAUGCCUCCCACCAUUAACUCCUGAAUAAAACACUUGUAUUGUGGUUUGCUUUGUAAAGC